AUGUGGAGCGCUUAGAAGUGAGAAUGCCGGUGUGAGUAGCGAAAGACGGGUGAGAAUCCCGUCCACCGAUUGACUAAGGUUUCCAGAGGAAGGCUCGUCCGCUCUGGGUUAGUCGGGUCCUAAGCUGAGGCCGACAGGCGUAGGCGAUGGAUAACAGGUUGAUAUUCCUGUACCACCAUUAUUCGUUUUAAGCGAUGGGGGGACGCAGUAGGAUAGGCGAAGCGUGCUGUUGGAGUGCACGUCCAAGCAGUGAGAUUGAGUGUUAGGCAAAUCCGGCACUCUUAAGAUUGAGCUGUGAUGGGGAGAGGAACUUGUUCCUCGAGUCGUUGAUUUCACACUGCCGAGAAAAGCCUCUAGCUAGAAUAACGGUGCCCGUACCGCAAACCGACACAGGUAGUCAAGAUGAGAAUUCUAAGGUGAGCGAGCGAACUCUCGUUAAGGAACUCGGCAAAAUGACCCCGUAACUUCGGGAGAAGGGGUGCUCUUUGAGGUUCACGCUUCGAAGAGCCGCAGUGAAUAGGCCCAAGCGACUGUUUAUCAAAAACACAGGUCUCUGCUAAACCGUAAGGUGACGUAUAGGGGCUGACGCCUGCCCGGUGCUGGAAGGUUAAGAGGAGUGGUUAGCGCAAGCGAAGCUACGAAUCGAAGCCCCAGUAAACGGCGGCCGUAACUAUAACGGUCCUAAGGUAGCGAAAUUCCUUGUCGGGUAAGUUCCGACCCGCACGAAAGGCGUAACGAUUUGGGCACUGUCUCAACGAGAGACUCGGUGAAAUCAUAGUACCGGUGAAGAUGCCGGUUACCCGCGACAGGACGGAAAGACCCCGUGGAGCUUUACUGUAGCCUGAUAUUGAAAUUCGGUACAGUUUGUACAGGAUAGGUAGGAGCCUUAGAAGCGUGAGCGCUAGCUUACGUGGAGGCAUUGGUGGGAUACUACCCUAAUUGUAUUGGAUUUCUAACCCGCAGCACUUAUCGUGCUGGGAGACAGUGUCAGGCGGGCAGUUUGACUGGGGCGGUCGCCUCCUAAAGAGUAACGGAGGCGCUCAAAGGUUCCCUCAGAAUGGUUGGAAAUCAUUCAUAGAGUGUAAAGGCAUAAGGGAGCUUGACUGCGAGACCUACAAGUCGAGCAGGGUCGAAAGACGGACUUAGUGAUCCGGUGGUUCCGCAUGGAAGGGCCAUCGCUCAACGGAUAAAAGCUACCCCGGGGAUAACAGGCUUAUCUCCCCCAAGAGUUCACAUCGACGGGGAGGUUUGGCACCUCGAUGUCGGCUCAUCGCAUCCUGGG
rnacentral:rRNA from 1 species